rnacentral:rRNA from 1 species
UACGGAGGGGGCUAGCGUUGUUCGGAAUUACUGGGCGUAAAGCGCACGUAGGCGGCUUUGCAAGUCAGAGGUGAAAGCCCGGGGCUCAACCCCGGAAUGGCCUUCGAGACUGGUGGUCUUGAGUUCGAGAGAGGUGAGUGGAAUUCCGAGUGUAGAGGUGAAAUUCGUAGAUAUUCGGAGGAACACCAGUGGCGAAGGCGGCUCACUGGCUCGACACUGACGCUGAGGUGCGAAAGCGUGGGGAGCAAACAGG